rnacentral:rRNA from 1 species
UACAGAGGGGGCUAGCGUUGUUCGGAAUUACUGGGCGUAAAGGGCGCGUAGGCGGUCGUGACAAGUCACUUGUGAAAUCUCCGGGCUUAACUCGGAACGGUCAAGUGAUACUGUCGGACUAGAGUACAGAAGGGGCAACUGGAAUUCUCGGUGUAGCGGUGAAAUGCGUAGAUAUGGGGAGGAACACCGGUGGCGAAGGCGGCCAUCUGGACGGUAACUGACGCUGAGACGCGAAAGCGUGGGGAGCAAACAGG